CACUCCUACGGGAGGCAGCAGUAGGGAAUCUUCGGCAAUGGGGGCAACCCUGACCGAGCAACGCCGCGUGAGUGAAGAAGGUUUUCGGAUCGUAAAGCUCUGUUGUAAGUCAAGAACGAGUGUGAGAGUGGAAAGUUCACACUGUGACGGUAGCUUACCAGAAAGGGACGGCUAACUACGUGCCAGCAGCCGCGGUAAUACGUAGGUCCCGAGCGUUGUCCGGAUUUAUUGGGCGUAAAGCGAGCGCAGGCGGUUUGAUAAGUCUGAAGUUAAAGGCUGUGGCUCAACCAUAGUUCGCUUUGGAAACUGUCAAACUUGAGUGCAGAAGGGGAGAGUGGAAUUCCAUGUGUAGCGGUGAAAUGCGUAGAUAUAUGGAGGAACACCGGUGGCGAAAGCGGCUCUCUGGUCUGUAACUGACGCUGAGGCUCGAAAGCGUGGGGAGCGAACAGGAUUAGAAACCCGGGUAGUCCCAU
rnacentral:rRNA from 1 species